CAUAGGAGGAGACCAGGAACAUCUGGAGGUUCAUAGGAGGAGACCAGGAACAUCUGGAGGUUCAUAGGAGGAGACCAGGAGCCUCUGGAGGUUCAUAGGAGGAGACCAGGAACAUCUGGAGGUUCAUCUGAGACCAGGAACAUCUGGAGGUUCAUAGGAGGAGAGCAGGAACCUCUGGAGGUUCAUCUGAGACCAGGAACCUCUGGAGGUUCAUAGGAGGAGACAAAGAACCUCUGGAAGUUUAUCUGAGACCAGGAACCUCUGGAGGUUCUUCUGAGACCAGGAACCUCUGGAGGUUCAUAGGAGGAGACCAGGAACCUCUGGAGGUUCAUAGGAGGAGACCAGGAACAUCUGGAGGUUCAUAGGAGGAGACCAGGAACAUCUGGAGGUUCAUAGGAGGAGACCAGGAGCCUCUGGAGGUUCAUAGGAGGAGACCAGGAACAUCUGGAGGUUCAUCUGAGACCAGGAACCUCUAGAGGUUCCUAGGAGGAGACCAGGAACAUCUGGAGGUUCAUAGGAGGAGAGCAGGAACCUCUGGAGGUUCAUCUGAGACCAGGAACCUCUGGAGGUUCAUAGGAGGAGACAAAGAACCUCUGGAAGUUUAUCUGAGACCAGGAACCUCUGGAGGUUCUUCUGAGACCAGGAACCUCUGGAGGUUCAUAGGAGGAGACCAGGAACCUCUGGAGGUUCAUAGGAGGAGACCAGGAACAUCUGGAGGUUCAUAGGAGGAG
ensembl:lncRNA